GUAACUUCUCUAAGGUUACACAGCUAGACACCAGAGCCAGGUUUUCAGCUACUUGUCCGUCUGACUCCAGAACCUUCCGUUGUGGUUUGUGUUAUUUAUUUUGGCUACGGCUCCUAGAGCUCUCUGUGGCAUAUGUUUUUUAGAUCGAGGGGCAACGUGCUAGUGUGAAGUAUACAUCUCGACAACUCUUUGCAUGUGUGCACGCCCAUGUAACCACCACCCAGAGUAAGAUACAUUUCCAGAAGAUUCCUCAUGCCCCUUCCAGGUACUCGCUAUUCUGACCUCUAUCAGCAUUGAUCAGUUUUUCCUGGGAGGAGCGGCGUGGAACCACUUCUCUCGCUGAGGCAAGAAGGAAGACAGGAGGAUUUCCGUGUGGGGAGGAGCUGCUCACGGCAACAUCGGAGGGGGAGCCUCCACAGGCAGUGGGGAGGGAGCGUUCAUAUGGCGCACGGUCCCACCGGGUCUCCGCACGCUACCGUGAGGUAGGCAGCGAAGCGAGGAGAGUUUGAAUCGGAUGCAGAAAGCCAUGUGCCCAAAGCGACACGGCAAGUUAGUGGUGGAUCCGGAGGCCUGGAGUCUCCUGGCGUCUUGAUGAGAAAAUGGAGCUCCUGAGAGCAGAAGUGUGUGGUCGCACAAAUGGGAAGUCAGGACCUCCAUAUGUGAGAAUAGAGGCUCUUGCUAAGCCAUCCUGCUGGGCUGAGCACGAACUUCUUACAGAAGCCUGACAUAUACACAAAACUGAGAGUUUAGCUGGUGAAUUUUCACAAAGUAAUCAGACUCCUGAAGCCAGUGCCGGAUCAACAGGACACUGCCAGCCCCUCAGAAGCCCCUUCACAGCCCCCAAAGAGGAGCCAUCACCCUGACUUCUAACAUCACAGUUCUGGCUCAAGAUGGUGACGUAGAAGGAUCCUGAACUCGCCUCCUCCCAGACACUGGAUAUACUAGAUAUGCAGCUACUUACAGAACAAUUAGCUGAAUGACUCCCACACAUCAGGCGAAGGAGAAAAAAACCCACAUCAAAGCAGGUAGGAGAGGCUGAGACACAUUCUCGCCACAAACCUCCCCCCUAGUGGGGAGACUCACAAUUGGGAGGGAACGCAAAAACUCUGAGCUUCUCCCUGAGGAGUGAGGGGUUUGAACUCUGCAUCUGGUACCCCAACUUUGAAGACCUGCCCCUGAAGUACCUUUAUUGCCUCCUUGGGAGGAGCCGGGAGCUGGGGCACCAGGACAGCUGGACAGAUAAACGUACAGCAACAGGACAGGUGGGGCCCAGGGUCGGGGGUCUCCUCCCUGCCCUUUAUCUGGCCUGGGCAGCCAGAGGUCACGGUCAGGGCUCUCUAUCACUCCCUCAGGCCUUCUCCCAGCGUCUCCCUGUCCAGGACCCUUCAAGCAGACACCCAGCAAAGUGCUGUCCAAAAGCACCAGGACUGGUUUGGCAAACAGAAUCUGCUCCAACCUGUCCACCAGGAAGCCCUCAGGUGUUCCUAUCUUUACUGUACGGAGAUAAUCAUACAUGUGCACAGAGGUGUGUGGACAGAGAUGUUCAUCACAGCAUUGUUUCUAACAGGGGAAAACUAGAAAGAACCCAAGUGCCCAGCAUGGAGGGACUGGUUACCAUACAACAGAACGCAGUGGAGGAAUCUGACGCAGGCCUUAGAGCUCCCGCACCCCUGCUGGCCACCGUGCUGUCCCCCACCACCCAGACACCCCCUGGUUGCAUCUUACCAUCUAAGCGCACUAAACUCCUUAUGGUCCCCAAAUCCCCCCCACAUUUCUGUCUUCUCAGAGGUUCCCACUUGCUGUUUCCUCUGCCUGCAAUGCCACUUCUUCUUUUUUUAAGAUAUUUUUUAAUCUAUGUUUAUUUUUUGA